GACGAACGCUGGCGGCGUGCUUAACACAUGCAAGUCGAACGAGAAAGCACCUUCGGGUGUGAGUACAGUGGCGAACGGGUGAGUAACACGUGGGCAACCUGCCUGUAAGACUGGGAUAACUUCGGGAAACCGAGGCUAAUACCGGAUAAUCCUUUUCCUCACAUGAGGGAAAGCUGAAAGACGGCGUAAGCUGUCACUUACAGAUGGGCCCGCGGCGCAUUAGCUAGUUGGUGAGGUAACGGCUCACCAAGGCAACGAUGCGUAGCCGACCUGAGAGGGUGAUCGGCCACACUGGGACUGAGACACGGCCCAGACUCCUACGGGAGGCUG
rnacentral:rRNA from 1 species